rfam:Leucoagaricus sp. SymC.cos contig15311, whole genome shotgun sequence.
GGUUCAAUGGUCUAGUGGUUAUGAUUUCUGUCUCACACACAGGAGGUCCCCGGUUCGACCCCGGGUUGAACCA